rnacentral:rRNA from 1 species
CCGGUACCGGAAGAAUAAGCCCCGGCUAACUUCGUGCCAGCAGCCGCGGUAAUACGAAGGGGGCUAGCGUUGCUCGGAAUCACUGGGCGUAAAGCGCACGUAGGCGGGCUUUUAAGUCGGAGGUGAAAUCCCAGAGCUCAACCCUGGAACUGCCUUCGAUACUGGAAGUCUUGAGUCCGGAAGAGGUGAGUGGAACUCCGAGUGUAGAGGUGAAAUACGUAGAUAUUCGGAAGAACACCAGUGGAGAAGGCGGAUCACUGGUCCGGUACUGACGCUGAGGUGCGAAAGCGUAGGGGAGCAAACAGGAUUAGAUACCCUGGUAGUCCACGCCGUAAACGAUGAAUGCUAGCCGAUGGGGAGCUUGCAUCUUCAGUGGCGCAGAUAACACUUUAAGCAUACCGACUGGGGAGUACGGUCGCAAGAUUAAAACUCAAAGGAAAUAGACGGGGGCCCGCACAAGCGGUGGAGCAUAGUGAGAAAAAUACAAAGCAACGCGCA